rnacentral:rRNA from 1 species
CAGCCGCCACGGGAAUACGUAGGUGGCAAGCGUUGUCCGGAAUUAUUGGGCGUAAAGGGCUCGCAGGCGGUUUCUUAAGUCUGAUGUGAAAGCCCCCGGCUCAACCGGGGAGGGUCAUUGGAAACUGGGAGACUUGAGUGCAGAAGAGGAGAGUGGAAUUCCACGUGUAGCGGUGAAAUGCGUAGAGAUGUGGAGGAACACCAGUGGCGAAGGCGACUCUCUGGUCUGUAACUGACGCUGAGGAGCGAAAGCGUGGGGAGCGAACAGGAUUAGAGACCCCCGUAGUCCCUGUCUCUUAUAC